UAGGGAAUCUUCGGCAAUGGGGGCAACCCUGACCGAGCAACGCCGCGUGAGUGAAGAAGGUUUUCGGAUCGUAAAGCUCUGUUGUAAGAGAAGAGCGUGUGUGAGAGUGGAAAGUUCACACAGUGACGGUAACUUACCAGAAAGGGACGGCUAACUACGUGCCAGCAGCCGCGGUAAUACGUAGGUCCCGAGCGUUGUCCGGAUUUAUUGGGCGUAAAGCGAGCGCAGGCGGUUUAAUAAGUCUGAAGUUAAAGGCAGUGGCUUAACCAUUGUUCGCUUUGGAAACUGUUAAACUUGAGUGCAGAAGGGGAGAGUGGAAUUCCAUGUGUAGCGGUGAAAUGCGUAGAUAUAUGGAGGAACACCGGUGGCGAAAGCGGCUCUCUGGUCUGUAACUGACGCUGAGGCUCGAAAGCGUGGGGAGCAAACAGG
rnacentral:rRNA from 1 species